AGGAUGAACGCUGGCGGCGUGCUUAACACAUGCAAGUCGAACGGUGAAAGAGAGCUUGCUCUCUGGAUCAGUGGCGAACGGGUGAGUAACACGUGAGCAAUCUGCCCCUGACUCUGGGAUAAGCGCUGGAAACGGCGUCUAAUACCGGAUACGAGCUGCGAAGGCAUCUUCAGCAGCUGGAAAGAACUUCGGUCAGGGAUGAGCUCGCGGCCUAUCAGCUAGUUGGUGAGGUAAUGGCUCACCAAGGCGUCGACGGGUAGCCGGCCUGAGAGGGUGACCGGCCACACUGGGACUGAGACACGGCCCAGACUCCUACGGGAGGCAGCAGUGGGGAAUAUUGCACAAUGGGCGCAAGCCUGAUGCAGCAACGCCGCGUGAGGGACGACGGCCUUCGGGUUGUAAACCUCUUUUAGCAGGGAAGAAGCGAAAGUGACGGUACCUGCAGAAAAAGCACCGGCUAACUACGUGCCAGUAGCCGCGGUAAUACGUAGGGUGCAAGCGUUAUCCGGAAUUAUUGGGCGUAAAGAGCUCGUAGGCGGUUUGUCGCGUCUGCUGUGAAAAGCCGAGGCUCAACCUCGGGCCUGCAGUGGGUACGGGCAGACUAGAGUGCGGUAGGGGAGAUUGGAAUUCCUGGUGUAGCGGUGGAAUGCGCAGAUAUCAGGAGGAACACCGAUGGCGAAGGCAGAUCUCUGGGCCGUAACUGACGCUGAGGAGCGAAAGGGUGGGGAGCAAACAGGCUUAGAUACCCUGGUAGUCCACCCCGUAAACGUUGGGAACUAGUUGUGGGGACCAUUCCACGGUUUCCGUGACGCAGCUAACGCAUUAAGUUCCCCGCCUGGGGAGUACGGCCGCAAGGCUAAA
rnacentral:rRNA from 1 species